rnacentral:rRNA from 1 species
CCUACGUGUGGCAGCAGUGAGGAAUAUUGGUCAAUGGGCGAGAGCCUGAACCAGCCAAGUCGCGUGAGGGAGUACUGCCCUAUGGGUUGUAAACCUCUUUUGUCGGGGAGCAAAAGCCGGACGUGUCCGGCUGUGAGAGUACCCGAAGAAAAAGCAUCGGCUAACUCCGUGCCAGCAGCCGCGGUAAUACGGAGGAUGCGAGCGUUAUCCGGAUUUAGUGGGUUUAAAGGGUGCGCAGGCGGAUUUUUAAGUCAGCGGUCAACUCGUGGGGCUCAACCCCAUCCAGCCGGUGAAACUGGGGAUCUAGAGUGUGCGAGAGGUAUGCGGAAUGCGUGGUGUAGCGGUGAAAUGCAUAGAUAUCACGCAGAACCCCGAUUGCGAAGGCAGCAUACCGGUGCACAACUGACGCUCAGGCACGAAAGCGUGGGUAUCGAACAGGAUUAGAUACCCUAGUAGUC